UCUCCGUAGGUGAACCUGCGGAGGGAUCAUUACAGAGUUCAUGCCCUCCGGGUAGAUCUCCCACCCAUUGCUAUAACUACUCUCGUUGCUUUGGCGGGCCGCUGGGCCCUGCCCGCCGGCCGGCCCCGGCUGGCGCGUGCCCACCAGAUACCACACAAUCUCUGAAUGUUAUAUUUGUCCGAGUAACUAUACAAUAGUUAAAACUUUCAACAACGGAUCUCUUGGUUCUG
rnacentral:misc_RNA from 1 species